rnacentral:tRNA from 1 species
CAGGAGGUAGUUUAAUUAAAAUAUUAAUUUUGGGGAUUAACGAUGAAGUAAUUUCUUUUCUCUUGA